AACCAUUCUCACCUGCGGCUAGACCUGCGGAAGGAUCAUUAUUGAGUGUAAUCUACCCCUUAAAAAAGGGUUGAUACCUCCCGUCCUUUGCAGGCCCCCCCUUUUUUAUUGAGGGGGGGGGCUUUUUUUAAGACUUUCUGCUUCGGCGGGGUUACUCCCGCCGGAACACCCUCAAAAAACUCUUUAAAAAAAUAGUUCAGUCCGAGAACUUUUUGAAAAUAUAAAAAAAACUUUCAGCAA
rnacentral:misc_RNA from 1 species